rnacentral:rRNA from 1 species
CGUUAAUCGGGAAUUACUGGGCGUAAAGAGUACGUAGGCGGUUGUACAAGUCAGAUGUGAAAGCCCUGGGCUCAACCUGGGAACUGCAUUUGAAACUGUACGGCUAGAGUUUGAUUGAGGGGAGUGGAAUUUCCGGUGUAGCGGUGAAAUGCGUAGAGAUCGGAAGGAACACCAGUGGCGAAGGCGGCUCCCUGGAUUAAAACUGACGCUGAGGUACGAAAGCGUGGGUAGCAAACAGGAUUAGAUACCCUGGUAGUCACGCCGUAAACGAUGAGAACUAGCUGUUGGGGUCAAUUAAGACUUUAGUGGCGAAGCUAACGUGAUUAGUUCUCCGCCUGGGGAGUACGGCCGCAAGGUUAAAACUCAAAUGAAUUGACGGGGGCCCGCACAAGCGGUGGAGCAUGUGGUUUAAUUCGAUGCAACGCGAAGAACCUUACCUGCCCUUGACAUCCUUCUGACCUGCUAGAGAUAGCGGGGUGCCUUCGGGAAAGGAGAGACAAGUGCUGCAUGGCUGUCGUCAGCUCGUGUCGUGAGAUGUUGGGUUAAGUCCCGUAACGAGCGCAACCCUUAUCCUUAGUUGCCAUCAGUUCGGCUGGGAACUCUAAGGAGACUGCCGGUGAUAAACCGGAGGAAGGUGGGGACGACGUCAAGUCAUCAUGGCCCUUAUGGGCAGGGCUACACACGUGCUACAAUGGUCGGUACAGAGGGCUGCAAAGUCGCGAGGCCAAGCUAAUCCCAGAAAGCCGAUCGUAGUCCGGAUUGGAGUCUGCAACUCGACUUCAUGAAGUCGGAAUCGCUAGUAAUCGCGGAUCAGAACGCCGCGGUGAAUACGUUCCCGGGCCUUGUACACACCGCCCGUCACACCAUGGGAGUGGGUUGCAAAAGAAGUGGGUAGUCUAACCUUCGGGAGGGCGCUCACCACUUUGUGAUUCAUGACUGGGGUGAAGUCGUAACAAGGUAACC